rnacentral:rRNA from 1 species
GACGAACGCUGGCGGCGUGCUUAACACAUGCAAGUCGAACGGAAAGGCCCUGCUUUUGUGGGGUGCUCGAGUGGCGAACGGGUGAGUAACCCGUGAGUAACCUGCCCUUGACUUUGGGAUAACUUCAGGAAACUGGGGCUAAUACCGGAUAGGAGCUCCUUCUUCAUGGUGGGGGUUGGAAAGUUUCGGCGGUUGGGGAUGGACUCGCGGCUUAUCAGCUUGUUGGUGGGGUAGUGGCUUACCAAGGCUUUGACGGGUAGCCGGCCUGAGAGGGUGACCGGCUACAUUGGGACUGAGAUACGGCCCAGACUCCUACGGGAGGCAGCAGUGGGGAAUAUUGCACAAUGGGCGGAAGCCUGAUGCAGCAACGCCGCGUGCGGGAUGACGGCCUUCGGGUUGUAAACCGCUUUCGCCUGUGACGAAGCGUGAGUGACGGUAAUGGGUAAAGAAGCACCGGCUAACUACGUG